rnacentral:tRNA from 1 species
GGCUUGCUCGUCUAGUGGUAUGAUUCUCGCUUCGGGUGUGAGAGGUCACGGGUUCGAUUCCCGUGCAAGCCU